GGAGUUGUGGCUCAGCGGUAGAGCGCUCACCUAGCAUGUGCAAGGGGCCUGAGUUUGAUCCUCAGCACCA
rnacentral:tRNA from 1 species